AGUGGGAAAAGCUUAGUCUUACUUUGUGCUGCUUUAGCGUGGCAACAGUCUCUUCUUCGUGGGAAGCCAGCAGAUGAAAGCUUAAGCAAAAAAGCUGAAGUACCAUUGUCACGUGGUUGUACGUGCCAUUCAAAGAAUUUUACAAACGAUGGCGAGGACCGAGGAACUUCACGUCAUUUCAACAGUCCAAGUACACCACCUUCUGAAAGAAAUGGCACUUCAUCAACUUGUCAAGAGGUUGUUUCUGACAGCGUAUCCGGUGUGAU